rnacentral:rRNA from 1 species
UACGGGAGGCAGCAGUAGGGAAUCUUCCGCAAUGGACGAAAGUCUGACGGAGCAACGCCGCGUGAACGAUGAAGGUUUUCGGAUCGUAAAGUUCUGUUGUUAGGGAAGAACCGCCGGGAUGACCUCCCGGUGAGACGGUACCUAAAGAGAAAGCCCGGGAAAACUAUGUCCCCGCAGGCGGGGUAAUAGGGGGGGGGCGAGUGUUUUCGAAAAUUAUGGGGUAAAAAGCGCGCGCGGGGGGCUUCAAAAGUCAGGUGUAAAACCCCGGGUCUACACCGGGGAGGCCCACUUGAAAGUGGGAGGCGAGAGUGCAGGAGGGGAGAGGAAAUUUCCAUGUGGAGGGGAAAAGUGUGGAGAUAGGGGGAAAAACACCCGGGGAGGGGGGGGCUCUGGGCCGUGUAAGAGACGGAGAGGCGAAAGAGUGGGGGGAAAAAACGAUAAGAUACCCCGGUGUUCCACACGCUAAAAAAGGGGAGUUAGGGGUGGUGGGACUCCAAUCCUCAGUGCCGCAGCUAACGCAAUAAGCACUCCGC